AGCACAUUGUUUAGCUCUGUCUCAGUUUUCUAGAUUUUUCUAGUGAAAGCUGGAUUGGAGGUUGAUCUUGUUGGUCUACAGCUGCUCUGUAUGCAGAUAUAAUGUCACUGGGCUACUUGUGAUUUGUCUGGUCUGUGCUUUAUGGUCGAAUGCUGUUGCUUCGUUGCUUUUGAUUCAGUCUGAGAUGACUGUUUUCAAUAUUGAACACAGCAUUGUUACGACACUCUCUGCUGCUGAAUAAUCAGAAUCAUAAUCAAAUAAUCAUAUUUGCUGAAAUAAAUUUUCUUCAAAAUGAA